CGGACGGGUGAGUAACACGUGGAUAACUUACCUAUAAGACUGGGAUAACUUCGGGAAACCGGAGCUAAUACCGGAUAAUAUAUUGAACCGCAUGGUUCAAUAGUGAAAGACGGUUUUGCUGUCACUUAUAGAUGGAUCCGCGCCGCAUUAGCUAGUUGGUGAGGUAACGGCUUACCAAGGCAACGAUGCGUAGCCGACCUGAGAGGGUGAUCGGCCACACUGGAACUGAGACACGGUCCAGACUCCUACGGGAGGCAGCAGGA
rnacentral:rRNA from 1 species